AACUUACACUCAGAGACAGUGGUGGCUAAUGUCAAGUUAUAAGAUAUAUAGUAUACAAUAACUCUAGUAACUUAUAUGUUUGUGAAAAUGAUGAUUACCAUGGUAACUCUUUAAGAGUUGUCAUUCUACUACUAACGUGAAGGCUUGCUCUUAUGCUAAUUUUUUAUGUUUUAUUUCACACUUGUACCUGUAAGUGACUUGGUUCUUUUCUAAUCUUUAUAGAUUCUGAGGAGGUGGAGAUCUUCAUUUGUGUUUUGUUCCUGUAUAUCCUGAACAGUAAUCUGAAGUCAUGGAGUAGAGACAGAGGCAGCAGGCAGCCACAACACAGAAUUGGAAACAAAGUUCGGUUUUCUUCAGUGUUAUCAAUGUCUGAAGCCAAAGAAGAUAUCAGCAGCUGCUUGAAGAUCUCGCCUUUGGAGAAGACUGAUUUUAUACUCAAAAAAAAUCUGUGCCCAUUCUGCAGCUUUAUUCUGAUGAACACCUUCAUCCAUCAUGUCCCUCACUGCUGCUCUUCUCAAUGGGGACAUCAUUGAUCCAGAGGAUGAGGAAGAUGAUGAUGAUGGACCCCUGAACCCCACAACCUUGAA